rnacentral:lncRNA from 1 species
CACAGGGAUUGGCCAAAGCAGAGACACUAGGUGUGACCUGCUGUCAUCACCCAGGUCAGAAAUUUUGUUAGCUUGGGCCAAAGUGCUCAAAAAACAAGUGGUCAGACUCAGUUAUAGUCCACAUGUUCUGAUUUAUAGCCAGGAUCGCUGCUUGUGGAUUCUGUGCAGGAUGGUUUGGGAGAGAAGGGCAGUCAGGACACACUUUCCAGACAGGUAGAAGGGGAAAUGCACAUGGUGUCCAGGCAGGAGAAGGCCUCACCAAUGACCCAGGGGUCACUCUGCUGUCUUGACAGAGCAGGGAGGAGGUCUCCAUCUCAAGACCUCUCCCUAGAUCUGAUCUGUGUCUACUUCAUGUUUUCCAGGCAUCUCUGGGGACUGGAAGAAUCACCUCACAGUGGCCCAAGCUGAAGCCUUUGAUAAAGUUUACCAGGAGAAGAUGGCGGGUUUCCCCAAAGAGCUGUUCCCAUGGGAGUAACCUCUAACAGGUCCAGGAUCUUCCAUGGACACUGUGUGGUUUUCCUGUCCUGGGACAUGCUCAGGACUGAGGGGUUCUUCACGUAAAAACCACUUUUCAGGAAAAGGGGGUGGGAGAAUAGGAUAACAUAAAGAACCAAUGAAAUAUAAGAUAAUUGAGAAGCAAAAAGAAUUCUAGUUGGUUAGAGGAGGAGAAUGGAGGGGGAGGGGCAUGUGGGGAAGGGGGAUCUGGAAGGGAAAUAAACUUCCACACAUGGGUGGGUUUCUCUGCAUGAGCCCAACUCCUAUGUGAACCUACAAAGCUCUGACAGAAUUUAAAACCUGUUUCUUCAUUCUGAGCCUGUAUUUUGCUUCUCUCAUCACUUGCUUGUAAAAAUGACUGGAAUUUCCCUAUUCCCUUUGUCAAAUCUUGGCAUUUAAAAAAAUCAUGUAUAAUUUUAUACAGACAGAAGUCCACCAAUAUAAGAUGAAUAUCACCCAGAAUUGCUUCUCAUUCUUAAAACAAGAAAUACAAUGUAGCAGCACCUAGGGUUCCUUUUCUUUACGUGCAUCUCCAGAUUGUGUUGUGAUGAGGAUCUGGAGGAGUGUGAUUUUCAGACUAGUUUACUCUCCUUCCUGGUGUUGUUUACAUCAUAAAUAACAAUUGCUCUGUUUGGGACUUUUCAAACAUACAUCAAUGGUGAAAGGAAUGAUAUAUUCUGAGCUCUCAUUUCUACUCAGCAUUUACCACAUGGUUUUAUCUGAGCUGAGGUGUAAUGAGUGGUUAGGAAUUGACUGAGACUUGGGACACAGUUUCCUGUUCUCCUAUAAGUGACCCUGGA